rnacentral:rRNA from 1 species
AUUGAACGCUGGCGGCAUGCCUUACACAUGCAAGUCGAACGGCAGCACGGGUGCUUGCACCUGGUGGCGAGUGGCGAACGGGUGAGUAAUACAUCGGAACAUGUCCUGUAGUGGGGGAUAGCCCGGCGAAAGCCGGAUUAAUACCGCAUACGAUCUACGGAUGAAAGCGGGGGACCUUCGGGCCUCGCGCUAUAGGGUUGGCCGAUGGCUGUUUAGCUAGUUGGUGGGGUAAAGGCCUACCAAGGCGACGAUCAGUAGAUGGUCUGAGAGGACGACCAGCCACACUGGGACUGAGACACGGCCCAGACUCCUACGGGAGGAAGCAGUGGGGAAUUUUGGACAAAGGGCGAAAGCAUGAUCCAGAAAUGCCGCGUGUGUGAAGAAGGCAUUCGGGUUGUAAAGCACUUUUGUCCGGAAAGAAAACCUUGGCUAUAAUACAGUCGGGGGAUGACGGUACCGGAAGAAUAAGCACCGGCUAACUACGUG